rnacentral:tRNA from 1 species
UUUGGGUGCGGUGAGCGCGGAGGACUUCAAGGCCAUUGUGGCGCAGAAGCU